rnacentral:lncRNA from 1 species
CAAGGGUGGAUGAACAGACAGCGUUUGGCGUUUUUUUACAGUCCUGGCCAGUGACUCUUGGAUGGGCCUCCUCCAAAAAGGACAUGCAGGCAGCAACUGUGUGCUGAACACGAGAGGCACUGCUACGACCGCUGGCGCAGCGAGCAGCUCAAGCUGCGUGAACAGCAUAUCCUCGGAAAAAUGAGCAGCAGUGUGGACAGUGGGGUGGAGGUCCAUGGUGGCAGCAGUAUUGCCACUACGGUAAUAAUAAGCCGUACAGACACCGAGUAUAGCUCAUCAGGAGAGGAGGGACCCCCAAAUGUUCCUCCUCCUCCUCUUCCCCCAGUAGCUCCACCUUCACCUCCACCACCACCUCCCCAGUACAUCGUCCUGCUCCUCGGGAAGAGCAUGAAGAAGAUGUAAUGUAUAGAUUUAUUGUGCCCUCUAUAAUUAUGUAGUGUAUUUGUGAACGUUUUGUUCAUUUUUUCCCUCUCUGCAGUAUUUUGCAGAUGAUGAGGAGGAGGAGGAGGAGCAGCAAGAAUAGGAGUG